UACGGGGGGGGCAAGCGUUGUUCGGAAUUACUGGGCGUAAAGGGCGUGUAGGCGGCCUAUUAAGUCGGACGUGAAAUCCCUCGGCUCAACCGGGGAACUGCGUCCGAUACUGGCAGGCUUGAAUCCGGGAGAGGGAUGUGGAAUUCCAGGUGUAGCGGUGAAAUGCGUAGAUAUCUGGAGGAACACCGGUGGCGAAGGCGGCAUCCUGGACCGGUAUUGACGCUGAGGCGCGAAAGCUAGGGGAGCAAACGGG
rnacentral:rRNA from 1 species